UACAGAGGUCCCAAGCGUUGUUCGGAUUCACUGGGCGUAAAGGGUGCGUAGGUGGUUGGGUAAGUCUGAUGUGAAAUCUCGGAGCUUAACUCCGAAACUGCAUUGGAUACUAUCUAGCUUGAGAGUUGGAGGGGGGACUGGAAUUCUCGGUGUAGCAGUGAAAUGCGUAGAUAUCGAGAGGAACACCAGUGGCGAAGGCGAGUCCCUGGACAACUUCUGACACUGAGGCGCGAAAGCCAGGGGAGCAAACGGG
rnacentral:rRNA from 1 species